ensembl:lncRNA novel transcript
AUAGAAUAUGAAGAGAAAUGCAGCCCACCCACUCCUUCGGGGAGAGGAGAGUGCUGGUGGAGAAACUCGGGGCCUGAAUUUUUCUUGAGGAAUCUAAGAAGAUCCUUUGGCUUCAAGGCAGAUGGAACCUGGAUGGUUUAGGGGAGGAAUGGGACUUGACAGCGGCGCUCAAAGCUUCUGGGCAGGGCUUUGAUCUAAUUGACAGAAGUGAAAAUAGUAGACCUUGGCUCCUCUCUGCUCCCAUCUCUCUCCUGCUCAAAGUCCUUGGUCAGGCACUGUUCGUUCCUUCCAGCCCAAAGACUUGGGAAAGUAAUUUCUGCAGACCCCUCCAGAGCUGUUUCUGACCCCACAGACAAUCUGGUGGGUGAAGAAACCUGAAUUAGCGGAGACUUUCCACAAUAGCCCUCAAUCACUUCUCUUCAGCUCAGUUCCAGACCCUUUACAAAGUGCGUGAAGGCACCAUUCCCCAAAGCGCAGAAAGAAGGCGCAGCCUGCCAGCAGGACAGGACAUGUGAAAUCAGGGACGUCUGGGGAAACCCUCUAAGCAUCCCCAAAGAACAUUCAAGUCUGAGCCUCAAGGAGCCUCUGCGACUCGGUGUCUAGAUCCAGGAAAUGGAGAAUGAGCCGUGACUUUGGAUGCUUCACUCUUGUCCAUCAGGCUCGGAAUUGGUGAGCAUCUCCCACAUUACCGUCUCCAACGGAACAAGGUGCCCCAUUGGACAUUUCCUCUGCAUGGACCAGCCAUUCUCCAAAUCUGCCCCCAUGUCACCCCAGCUCCCCAUCGCAGUCACUUCUCACUCCUUGUCCCCUGUCCCCCUGAGUGACAGGACUUUUGCCAGUUAGGUCCUGUCCCUGUUUCUGAUCUUGGGUCCAUUCCCCAUGGUCCCUUUCUUGCUUGUGCCUUGGGAUCUCAGGCCUGUUGAAGUAGGAGGCAGGACUCAACUUCAGACCAGAUUGAAGACUGGCUGACACAGAAGAGGCACCAAAAGCACCUCUCUCUCCAUAAGACAUGCCCACCAGUGCCAUGACAGUUUACCAUUGCUAUGGCAAUGCCCAGAAGUUCUCACCCCUUUUCCAGACAUUUCUGCAUAAUCUACCCCUCAAUUGGCAUGUGAUCAAAAGUGGGUGUCAAAAUGACUGUGGAACUGUCCCUGAGCUGCUACUCUUGACAUGCUGGUUACAGGGUAGCCCGGCUCUGCAGGGACAGUCACGGAGCUGAAAAACUGCUGCCUAAUGAAGCUGUUUUCUUCUA